rnacentral:rRNA from 1 species
UACGUAGGGUGCAAGCGUUGUCCGGAAUUAUUGGGCGUAAAGAGCUCGUAGGCGGCUUGUCGCGUCGGCUGUGAAAACCUGGGGCUCAACCCCGGGCCUGCAGCCGAUACGGGCAAGCUAGAAUUCGGUAGGGGAGACUGGAAUUCCAGGUGUAGCGGUGAAAUGCGUAGAUAUCUGGAGGAACACCGGUGGCGAAGGCGGCAUCCUGGACCGACACUGACGCUGAGGAGCGAAAGCCAGGGGAGCAAACGGG